AGCGAACGCUGGCGGCAGGCCUAUCACAUGCAAGUCGAACGAAGUCUUCGGACUUAGUGGCGGACGGGUGAGUAACACGAGGGAACGUGCCUUUAGGUUCGGAAUAACUCAGAGAAGCUUGUGCUAAUACCGAAUGUGCCCUUCGGGGGAAAGAUUUAUCGCCUUUAGAGCGGCCCGCGUCUGAUUAGCUAGUUGGUGGGGUAAUGGCCCACCAAGGCUACGAUCAGUAGCUGGUCUGAGAGGAUGACCAGCCACAUUGGGACUGAGACACGGCCCAAACUCCUACGGGAAGCAGCAGUCGGGAAUCUUGCGCAAUGGGCGAAAGCCUGACGCCGCCAUGCCGCGUGGAUGAUGUAUUUCUGAUGAUUGUAGAAUCCUUUCUGCGGUGAAGAUAAUGACUGUAGCCGGAGAAGAAGCCCCGGAUAACUUCGUGCCAGCAGCCGCCGUAGCAC
rnacentral:rRNA from 1 species